rnacentral:rRNA from 1 species
CCCUUAGAUGUUCUGGGCCGCACGCGCGCUACACUGAUGCAUUCAACGAGUUUAUAACCUUGGCCGAGAGGCCUGGGUAAUCUUCUAAACGUGCAUCGUGAUAGGGAUAGAUUAUUGCAAUUAUUAAUCUUGAACGAGGAAUUCCUAGUAAACGCAAGUCAUCAGCUUGCAUUGAUUACGUCCCUGCCCUUUGUACACACCGCCCGUCGCACCUACCGAUUGGGCAAUCCGGUGAGGCCUUUGGACUUUCUUUGGAGAGGAAGAAGCUCGAACCUUAUUGCCUAGAGGAAGGUGAAGCCGUAACA